rnacentral:rRNA from 1 species
GACGAACGCUGGCGGCGUGCUUAACACAUGCAAGUCGAGCGGUAAGGCUCCUUCGGGAGUACACGAGCGGCGAACGGGUGAGUAACACGUGAGUAAUCUGCCCUUCACUUCGGGAUAACCACCGGAAACGGUGGCUAAUACCGAAUACGACCAGUCUUCGCAUGAGGUGCUGGUGGAAAGUCUUUUCGGUGAAGGAUGUGCUCGCGGCCUAUCAGCUUGUUGGUGGGGUAAUGGCCUACCAAGGCUUCGACGGGUAGCCGGCCUGAGAGGGUGACCGGCCACACUGGGACUGAGACACGGCCCAGACUCCUACGGGAGGCAGCAGUGGGGAAUAUUGGACAAUGGGCGAAAGCCUGAUCCAGCAACGCCGCGUGAGGGAUGACGGCCUUCGGGUUGUAAACCUCUUUCAGUACCGACGAAGCGCCCUGUCGGGUGGUGACGGUAGGUACAGAAGAAGGACCGGCAAACUACGUG